UACGUAGGGGGCAAGCGUUGUCCGGAAUCAUUGGGCGUAAAGAGCGUGUAGGCGGCUCGGUAAGUCCGCUGUGAAAGUCCAGGGCUCAACCCUGGAAUGCCGGUGGAAACUGUCGGGCUAGAGUCCGGAAGAGGCGAGUGGAAUUCCUGGUGUAGCGGUGAAAUGCGCAGAUAUCAGGAGGAACACCAAUGGCGAAGGCAGCACUCUGGGACGUGACUGACGCUGAGACGCGAAAGCGUGGGGAGCAAACAGG
rnacentral:rRNA from 1 species